rnacentral:rRNA from 1 species
GACGAACGCUGGCGGCGUGCUUAACACAUGCAAGUCGAACGUGAUUUUUGUGGAAAUUCUUUCGGGAAUGGAAAUGAAAUGAAAGUGGCGAACGGGUGAGUAACACGUGAGCAACCUACCUUACACAGGGGGAUAGCCGUUGGAAACGACGAUUAAUACCGCAUGAGACCACAGAAUCGCAUGAUAUAGGGGUCAAAGAUUUAUCGGUGUAAGAAGGGCUCGCGUCUGAUUAGCUAGUUGGAAGGGUAAAGGCCUACCAAGGCGACGAUCAGUAGCCGGUCUGAGAGGAUGAACGGCCACAUUGGAACUGAGACACGGUCCAAACUCCUACGGGAGGCAGCAGUGGGGAAUAUUGCACAAUGGGGGGAACCCUGAUGCAGCGACGCCGCGUGAGCGAAGAAGGUUUUCGAAUCGUAAAGCUCUGUCCUAUGAGAAGAUAAUGACGGUAUCAUAGGAGGAAGCCCCGGCUAAAUACGUGCCAGCAGCCGCGGUAAUACGUAUGGGGCGAGCGUUGUCCGGAAUUAUUGGGCGUAAAGGGUACGUAGGCGGCCUUUUAAGUCAGGUGUGAAAGCGUGAGGCUUAACCUCAUUAAGCACUUGAAACUGGAAGGCUUGAGUGAAGGAGAGGAAAGUGGAAUUCCUAGUGUAGCGGUGAAAUGCGUAGAUAUUAGGAGGAAUACCGGUGGCGAAGGCGACUUUCUGGACUUUUACUGACGCUCAGGUACGAAAGCGUGGGGAGCAAACAGG